UGGAGGGGGGCAGCCCAUGCUGCUCUGCCCUCACGGCUCCAUUGUGUCCCAGCCCUUCCUGGAGGAGCGGCGAGGCGGCCGCCCGCGCUCCACACUGCGCUGCCCAGAGCUGGACAAGCCCAGCCGCCCACUCAACAGCACCGAGACCUUGCAGCCGAGGAAGCCAGUGCUGCGCAGCCCUGAGCGCUUGCCUGAGCCUGAGGAGCGCCGGAGCGAGCGCCGGGAGAGCCGUGGCAGCGCCUUUUUCGGGUACCGGCGGCAGGAUCAGCGCCAGUCCAUCUCAGAGUCACUGGACGCCAAGGACGACAAGCGGAGGCAGUCCCGGCACGUGAGUGAGAGCGGCUCAGGCAGCG
rnacentral:lncRNA from 1 species